AAAUUGAAGAGUUUGAUCAUGGCUCAGAUUGAACGCUGGCGGCAGGCCUAACACAUGCAAGUCGAACGGUAACAGGAAUCAGCUUGCUGAUUCGCUGACGAGUGGCGGACGGGUGAGUAAUGUCUGGGAAACUGCCUGAUGGAGGGGGAUAACUACUGGAAACGGUAGCUAAUACCGCAUAACGUCGCAAGACCAAAGAGGGGGACCUUCGGGCCUCUUGCCAUCGGAUGUGCCCAGAUGGGAUUAGCUAGUAGGUGGGGUAAAGGCUCACCUAGGCGACGAUCCCUAGCUGGUCUGAGAGGAUGACCAGCCACACUGGAACUGAGACACGGUCCAGACUCCUACGGGAGGCAGCAGUGGGGAAUAUUGCACAAUGGGCGCAAGCCUGAUGCAGCCAUGCCGCGUGUAUGAAGAAGGCCUUCGGGUUGUAAAGUACUUUCAGCGGGGAGGAAGGGAGUAAAGUUAAUACCUUUGCUCAUUGACGUUACCCGCAGAAGAAGCACCGGCUAACUCCGUGCCAGCAGCCGCGGUAAUACGGAGGGUGCAAGCGUUAAUCGGAAUUACUGGGCGUAAAGCGCACGCAGGCGGUUUGUUAAGUCAGAUGUGAAAUCCCCGGGCUCAACCGGGAACUGCAUCUGAUACUGGCAAGCUUGAGUCUCGUAGAGGGGGGUAGAAUUCCAGGUGUAGCGGUGAAAUGCGUAGAGAUCUGGAGGAAUACCGGUGGCGAAGGCGGCCCCCUGGACGAAGACUGACGCUCAGGUGCGAAAGCGUGGGGAGCAAACAGGAUUAGAUACCCUGGUAGUCCACGCCGUAAACGAUGUCGACUUGGAGGUUGUGCCCUUGAGGCGUGGCUUCCGGAGCUAACGCGUUAAGUCGACCGCCUGGGGAGUACGGCCGCAAGGUUAAAACUCAAAUGAAUUGACGGGGGCCCGCACAAGCGGUGGAGCAUGUGGUUUAAUUCGAUGCAACGCGAAGAACCUUACCUGGUCUUGACAUCCACAGAACUUUCCAGAGAUGGAUUGGUGCCUUCGGGAACUGUGAGACAGGUGCUGCAUGGCUGUCGUCAGCUCGUGUUGUGAAAUGUUGGGUUAAGUCCCGCAACGAGCGCAACCCUUAUCCUUUGUUGCCAGCGGUCCGGCCGGGAACUCAAAGGAGACUGCCAGUGAUAAACUGGAGGAAGGUGGGGAUGACGUCAAGUCAUCAUGGCCCUUACGACCAGGGCUACACACGUGCUACAAUGGCGCAUACAAAGAGAAGCGACCUCGCGAGAGCAAGCGGACCUCAUAAAGUGCGUCGUAGUCCGGAUUGGAGUCUGCAACUCGACUCCAUGAAGUCGGAAUCGCUAGUAAUCGUGGAUCAGAAUGCCACGGUGAAUACGUUCCCGGGCCUUGUACACACCGCCCGUCACACCAUGGGAGUGGGUUGCAAAAGAAGUAGGUAGCUUAACCUUCGGGAGGGCGCUUACCACUUUGUGAUUCAUGACUGGGGUGAAGUCGUAACAAGGUAACCGUAGGGGAACCUGCGGUUGGAUCACCUCCUUA
rnacentral:rRNA from 1 species